rnacentral:tRNA from 1 species
UCCUACUUAGCUCAGUUGGUUAGAGCAUCUGACUGUUAAUCAGAGGGUCACUGGUUCAAGUCCAGUAGUGGGAG